GAGAGUGUAUGCAUAUGAGAGUGUGAGAGUGCAACAAGAAUUCACCGGCACACAGGUAAUGCAAGCAGGUUAUACCUUGCUAAGUGUUUAUUGCAGCAUGCAACGUUUCGGGGUUGCCCCCUUUAUCAAGCAAUGCUCCCGAAUCACCCUAAUGUAACCCUUUCUUACCCUGUCACCUACAGGUGUGUGACCUGCUGUUAGUAGAUCCUUACUUACCUGUUCCAGUGAAUUGCACAGAAAUGUCACCUGAAAUCCUCUGAAGCAGCUGAGCAGGGAGUACAAUCGAGGGAUUCUCUUCAAAUGUUGUCUCGGCUGCUCCUCUUUGCUGCUUGCUGAGCCAGAUGCUUCAUACUGGGCCGAUCUUCUCCCUACAAACCAGCAGCACCCACAGGCACAUGAAGGAGCUGACACACUGGGAGAUUUCCUAAAGCAAACUGACUGUUUAACCCAUGAGCUGCCAGAAAGGAGGGAGAGGCUACAAAUAAUAUGCUGGAACUUCUAAUGAAUAAGGGACAUAUUUGUCCUUUAUUGGAAUGUAUCUGUUUGUUAAUAAGAGAUGGAGAUGCCAUACUACACACGCAAUAUAGCAAUCAAAUAAAUGACAUUCCAGUGAUAAACAGCACAAUGCUGCUUUUGAGCAGGUUUGAGCCAUUGCAUUUGGCUACAUAUCAAUAACACAGCCCAUGUCUUGCCUGCCUCACCCCUAGUUUGUAGAAUAUGUAUAGAGUCUGUAUAUAAUGCCACCAAGACACCUGCUUAUCUUAUUAGUUGCAAUUGUAUCUUUGCUUAUCUUAAAUUGUUACAAAUGUAUGUAAGUGCAGCUGCUCAGAGUUCUGGGCUCUCCGCCAAAAAGCCUCUUAUUUUAAUUACGUUUCAGAAACUUUGGGGGGAAUGUAAUAUUGGUCAUUAGCACAGACAUCAGUCUCAAUGUGAAUAAAUGUAUGCAAAGUUUAAAAACUUCACAAACCCCUCACACGACAGUAAAAUAGCGAUUGCGAAUUGUAUAGUUCUUUGUGAAUUUUAUUACAUUUCCGCCUUUAUAUCUUUUUCUGGCGUCAGUGCAGGAGAUCAAAGAGAAACUCUGAAAUUUCAGUAAGAAACGCGGGACUGUGGCUGAGCUGUCAAAAUCGAGACUGUCCCGCAGAAAACAGGACAGUUGGGAGCGCUACGUCAAUGGACCUUCCCCAUGAGACGAUUCAGCAUUUGGAUUUUCCUUGUUUGAAUGUGGAAAUAAAAAGCAUGCUCUUGGAGAUCUGAGUUUUGACAGGGAGCCAUAUAUCAUACCCACCUCUUCUCAUAAUACUGCGGAUCAGCCAGAAAGAAAACUGACAGACAUGGUCAAAUUCUAUACCUCUUGGCCUUGGGUUUAGGAAUAAACGACAACCCACAUGUUCAGUAAUGCUGCAGUCUGUUGCUGUUACAUGUUGAUGUGCACUGGCUCUCAUGCAGAGAAAUGGCUGGACUCAAUACCGUACACUGCAAGUCAGGACAGGUUUCCCUUUGGAAAUCCAAAAGUAGCUUCAAGUAAUUAAACUCACAUGGCAAAUUUGUGUAAUUCAGAUGAAUUAAAACGAAUCCAGGCUCUCCAGAGUGAUGUGUCUCCUGAAUAAAUAUCCAUUCAAUAUGCUGAUUAUGGUCCAUAUUGUUUGUGUGAAUAUUCCCAGUCUUAUCCCACAUAGGGGCAAAUUCGCUAGCGUUGGGCAUUUUCGUUACUUCGCAAAUUCACUAAUUGACGCUGGCGUAAC